CAGUCGCCGCGGUAACACGUAGGUCCCGAGCGUUGUCCGGAUUUACUGGGUGUAAAGGGAGCGUAGACGGAAUGGCAAGUCUGAAGUGAAAUGCCCGGGCUCAACCCGGGAACUGCUUUGGAAACUGUCGAUCUGGAGUGUUGGAGAGGUAAGUGGAAUUCCUGGUGUAGCGGUGAAAUGCGUAGAGAUCAGGAAGAACACCGGAGGCGAAGGCGGCUUACUGGACAAAGACUGACGUUGAGGCUCGAAAGCGUGGGAAGCAAACAGGAUUAGAUACCCCAGUAGUCCCUGUCUCUUAUAC
rnacentral:rRNA from 1 species